rnacentral:tRNA from 1 species
GAGGGUAUAGCUCAGUGGUAGAGUGCCUGCUUAGCAUACAUGAGGUCCUGGGUUCAAUCCCCAGCGCCUCCA